UGUUUUGAUACAAAGAGCGUCAUAUUUACCCAGCUAGCGUUAGCUUGUUUGGUGAAAGAGCUUGCAAGUCAAGAGACAGCACUGUCUGUGCACCUAAAUGUAACUCUUGACAUCAUAUAGAUAUAUUAUAGGUGCAGAGAGGAGUUGGUUUAUUGUGCUUCAAUGUAAAUCCUAAUGUGAGAGUUAAAGGACGGUCAACAAUAUAAUGUACCUUGGUCAGUUUGGAUUUAUCGUGGCAUUUAUUCUUAAUUAAAGUGAAUUUGUAUGCAGGUGUGGGACAUUCCAAAUGUUCCAAAAGUGAGCACUCCACGAAUGGACAACAGUUUGCAGGACCUCUCAGGCACCCACAACCAGCGUCUGAUCGGGAUGGAGCACCAACCCCAGGAAGAGGUCCAGUCUGCCCCGGGUCAGAACCACUUCUAUAUAAACGAGCAACCACACAAAUGUGUAUGCACUUAUCAUUAUUGAUAGCCAGUCUGAGCCAGAAGACACAAUGGAGCAAAGCACAGAAUACCUGACUGCGGCACACAUUGUUGCAGAACUCUCUGCAAAAAUAACAAAUACAUCUUGCAGCAGGUUCAAUAUUAAUAGAGCCAAUGUGUGCGAUGGAGCAAUCCGUGGCUUCAAAGGUGCCUCAUUCGAUCCCUCUCAUGAGAUGUCAGUUAAGUUCACUGAUGAUGAGGGACACACUGAGGAUGGAGGGGACAAUGGUGGUCCCAAGCGUGAGUUCCUGACCCUCCUUAUGGAAUGCCUGAGAAUGAAGAAAACAUCACGUCAGCAACUGUUUGUGCCCCAUGGCGGUGUGACUUUCCCAGCCGCUCACUGUCUCAAAAUCUGAUUCUAAAUGUAUAAUGUUCUCUAUAAAGAUAGAACUAAUACACAAUUAUGAAUGUAUAAUAUAAGCUGUUUUGUGUAUUUAAUCAUGCAUUGGUCUACAAUUUAAUGAUGGCUUCUACAUAUUUCACAUAAACAGACAAUGAAAAAAUGUGUCCUUCAUGCUGAUAACUAGUGUAUCUGCCAAUUAGUAUUCUAAACAGAGUAGUGUGUUGAAUCCUUAUUUCUUGCAUUUGAAACAGAUACAAUAAAAAAAGUGAACUUAC